CUUGUGAGUUCACGUCAAACAUCAACAACAGCCUAAUCGACUCGUCACAUCUCUACUUCACUGACUAAAUUUGGUACCAUGGCUGCAUUAGAAGAAAUCAUAGAUGAAGAAAUGUAUGAAAUGGAAGAAUUGCGACGAGUGAGGAUUCCACGCAUAUAUAAGAUCUUAUGGUGUAUAAUGUAGGUAUUGCAAAGUACAAAUAGUAUGUAAGAAUGAAUAAACUUAACCAUCUACU
rnacentral:lncRNA from 1 species